rnacentral:ncRNA from 1 species
GAUAACAUAUUGAUAUUCCCCAAGAGUUUAUACUGAUGGAAAGGUUUGACACGUUGAUGUUGGUUCUCUACCACUUAAGAUUGUAGUAUAUUAUAAGAGUUGAGUUGUUUGCCCAUUAAAACAGUACGUGAAUUAGGUUUAAAACCUAAUGAGAUAGUUU